rnacentral:rRNA from 1 species
CCUACGGGCGGCAGCAGUGAGGAAUAUUGGUCAAUGGACGAGAGUCUGAACCAGCCAAGUAGCGUGAAGGAUGACUGCCCUAUGGGUUGUAAACUUCUUUUAUAUGGGAAUAAAAUGUUCCACGUGUGGGAUUUUGUAUGUACCAUAUGAAUAAGGAUCGGCUAACUCCGUACCAGCAGCCGCGGUAAUACGGAGGAUCCGAGCGUUAUCCGGAUUUAUUGGGUUUAAAGGGAGCGUAGGUGGAUUGUUAAGUCAGUUGUGAAAGUUUGCGGCUCAACCGUAAAAUUGCAGUUGAAACUGGCAGUCUUGAGUACAGUAGAGGUGGGCGGAAUUCGUGGUGUAGCGGUGAAAUGCUUAGAUAUCACGAAGAACUCCGAUUGCGAAGGCAGUUCACUGGACUGCAACUGACACUGAGGCUCGAAAGUGUGGGUAUCAAACAGGAUUAGAUACCCUUGUAGUC